rnacentral:lncRNA from 1 species
GCCCUAGUGUUAUCACAAUAGAGUGACACCAGUCUUUUAUUCUUAGGAAUGACUCCUAAAUCCAUGAUAUAUUUCUUCAUUCGGACAGCUUCCUUAAUGGCUCACCUGUAGUGAUGUACUUUAUCUCAGUAAUUGAGUCAAAUACUAUCUGCUACUUAAAACUCUUCCAACUCACUGCCCCAUCAUUUAGGAUAAAUAUAUAUCCUAAUAUCGACUUGCUAUCAUCCGCUUUCCUAUGAUCCUCCUUU